rnacentral:tRNA from 1 species
GGAGAGGUGGCCGAGCCGGCUGAAGGCGAUCGCCUGCUAAGCGAUUAAGGGGGUUUUAAGCCUCCUUCGAGGGUUCGAAUCCCUCCCUCUCCGCCA